UUCAGGUAAAUCUUUAUCUGGUGGAGCAAUCGCUGCUAUUGUGAUUGGUGUCGUGAUUUUCUUUGUCAUACUGAUCGCUGUAAUUGUCUGGAUUGUGCGUGGCAAACGGCAGAGAAUCGCUCGUUAUAAUGACCUGGCAAUGAAUGACGACACUGACCCGCUCUGCUUUGAUUCUGAACCGAUAGCGUAAUUUGCACUUAAAUCAAAUAUUAACUGGGACGCUACCCUUAAAGAAAAUGAUUUGUUUAAGCCAGGAAUUUUCUUAAUUUAAUCAACAUUUCUUAAUUUCAUAAAGAAACCACGUUUUUGUCAAGACGGACGUCAGAUUGCCGAGGGAGAACUGGAUUAAAAACUUUGUUUGUAUCAGUUUGUGGUAAUCUUCAACACAUAUCACAAAACAUAAAAAUUUUUGAAAGUUUUUUUUCUUCCUUACACGAGCGCUCUGAUGCAAAAUGCCGCAAAAAUGAAUUAAAAGAGACCUUACGAUUUUAGGACGGCAACGCGACGACGACGGCCAAAACAACUCCUUCAAAUAAAUGGUAGUAAAGAUAAUUCGUCGUAUAUUAUCAAUCGUAUGAAUUUAAUACAGUUGUAGAAGUUGAAGACAUGGGUUUUAUAGUUGGGAAGAGUUCUGCUAAACCCAGUUUGAAGUUGUUGCGGCUUGAAAUGCAGCCGUUGUAUCAAGACGUCAAAAUCUGUGAUUUGGCGUUCUAAACAGAGCGAGGACAAUGUCUAAAUUAUUCAUAUAUUGUAAUUAUUCAAUUCUUUUCAAUGGUUUAUUGUAUAUUGGUAGCCGUUGCCGUCCUAAAAUCGUAAGGUCUCUAAACUGAUUUUCGUGUGAUGUCCGUGUUGACAAAAUUGUCACUGAUAGUGAAUUUCAUACUACAGAGAAGCCACAGUAUGAAUGAGACGGGAAAUAUGGCCAUUCUAAUAUGCAACUUUCGGUCUCGUUUUUUUCUUGUGCUCGAGGGAGCUGGGAUACCACGCAAACCCUCAAUUUGAUGUAGCGUUCCAGUUCAGCCUUUUAAGGUCGACACGGUGGGAAAUUGCGGUCACAAAUUAGUGAUAGUUAACUGAGCAUGCGUUGAUUGUACAUGCUGACGCGUAUAGUAAAAUAUCGAUGAAGCGAACAUACUGAUAAUUUCAAGAUAUAUUUUGGAUUUAUUGGUAGAAAUUUGAGGUAAAGAAAAGGCUAUAAGCCAGGAAACAAUAUUACGUGUCUCACGCAUAAAUUUUAAACGUACAAUUUGAGCUUUAUUUCGCCACAAAUAAGUCGAAAUAAAGCAGAGCAAAAAGCGCGGGAAAAUUCUGUACUGAGCCCGCGAUGCCAUACAAUGAAUACUCAGCGACAUGACUAUUUUUUUCUGCGCAACUUCCGGUCGUGUGUAAAUAGUUUUCAUUUUAUCGUUUUUGUAUAGUAUAUUAAUAUUGUGGAGUAGUAGGACAAACUUAAUGGAUUUUGACCGAUUGAAUUUAAAUUCUGUUGUAGAUUUAUUUAAUGUAUUUAUAUUAUGAAUAUAUGAUGCUUUGGGUAUUUUUAGAUAGUUUCUCAAGUAUAUAUUGUAAAAGCACUGCAUUGUUUGAUAAGAUCUUGAAUAAAUUUCCGAAACGAAUUCCUUCUUUAGGGACCGGUCAUUAUUUAUGGCGGGGGGUGGCACCGAAGAGAAAAGGGUUGGGUAAACAAAAUUUUGAGUGAGUAAAAGGUUGGGUAAAUGAAAAAAGAAACAGCUCAAGGGUUGGGUAAUAAAAAUUUAUUGUCAUUUCCAAAGCAUGACUCACUCAAAUAUUGAAGACUGAAAACGUCAAUGUCAACAGUCAUACGUCAAUACAAUAUGUGAAUCAAUCAGAGCAUAGACAAUCCAGAAGACAGUCCUUGAUUGUCUAUGCUCUGAUUGUCUGGCAUGUCUUCUGGAUUGGCUAUGAUCAGAGUCACUAUCUUGAUCAUUUUCCGAUUUGUUGGGAGACAAAUUAAUGGUGUCUCCAAAGAAAGUAGAUGUGCAGACAACAUGAAACUUUAGACUGGAGAAAAGUCAGUAAAUUUCACAAGCCGAACGUUAUCAAACUCGUGUCACAGAAGUGGUAAAGGACAUGUGUGACAACUGAAUGACAUCCUUUUGUAACGUUUUUGGCCAGGGGUGGGUAUUUAUUUUUUAAAUGAUACUUGAGGUUGGGUAAUCAAAUUUUUUAUUUUUUAAUGGUUGGGUCAGCAAAAUUUUUGGCACGAAAAACAUUUCUCUUCGGUGCCACCCCCCACCAUAAAUAAUGACCGGUCCCUUAUUAUUUUGCAUUCCUCAACGGCCAGAUACAUUUAAAGGCACAGUUCAGCCUUUUGAACGAUGGUUUUAAGGC